rnacentral:misc_RNA from 1 species
GGAAGUAAAAGUCGUAACAAGGUCUCCGUUGGUGAACCAGCGGAGGGAUCAUUACCGAGUUUCUAACUCCAUACCUUUGUGAACAUACCUAUCGUUGCUUCGGCGGGUUCGUCCCGGGGCUCGCAGUGCACGGCCUGCCCCGGAACCAGACGCCCGCCGAGGACCCCAAACUCUGUUUUUAUAGUGGAUCUUCUGAGUCUCAAACAAAAUAAAUUAAAACUUUCAGCAACGGAUCUCUUGGUUCUGGCAUCGAUGAAGAACGCAGCGAAAUGCGAUAAGUAAUGUGAAUUGCAGAAUUCAGUGAAUCAUCGAAUCUUUGAACGCACAUUGCGCCCGCCAGUACUCUGGCGGGCAUGCCUGUCCGAGCGUCAUUUCAACCCUCAGGGCCCGUCCGCGGGACCUGGUGUUGGGGAUCGGCUGCCCCUGGCGGCUGCCGGCCCUGAAAUACAGUGGCGGUCUCUUCGCGACCUCCCCUGCGUAGUAGUGAUACCUCGCAGCCGGAUAGCGGAGUGGCCACGCCGUAAAACCCCCUACUUCUCAAGGUUGACCUCGGAUCAGGUAGGAAUACCCGCUGAACUUAAGCAUAUCAAUAAGCGGAGGA